rnacentral:ncRNA from 2 species
CCAAUAGCGUAUAUUAAAGUUGUUGCAGUUAAAAAGCUCGUAGUUGAAUUUCGGGAUCAAUUAAUUGGUCGUGCCUCUGGUACGUACUGAUUUUAUUGGUUUCUCCCUUCUGAAGAACCAUGAUGUCAUUAAUUUGGUGUCGUGGAGAAUCAGGACUGUUACUUUGAAAAAAUUAGAGUGUUUAAAGCAAGCUAACGCUUGAAUACAUUAGCAUGGAAUAAUGAAAUAGGACGUUUGAUCCUAUUUUGUUGGUUUCUAGGAUCGACGUAAUGAUUAAUAGGGAUAGUUGGGGGCAUUAGUAUUCAAUUGUCAGAGGUGAAAUUCUUGGAUUUAUUGAAGACUAACUACUGCGAAAGCAUUUGCCAAGGAUGUUUUCAUUAAUCAAGAACGAAAGUUAGGGGAUCGAAGACGAUCAGAUACCGUCGUAGUCUUAACCAUAAACUAUGCCGACUAGGGAUCGGAUGAUGUUAAUUUUUUAAUGACUCAUUCGGCGCCUUACG